AGGCCUAACACAUGCAAGUCGAACGCAUCCCUUCGGGAUGAGUGGCGCACGGGUGAGUAACACGUGGGAACGUACCUUGGAGUGCGGAAUAAUCUUUGGAAACGAGGACUAAUACCGCAUACGCCCUUAGGGGGAAAGAUUUAUCGCUCCAAGAUCGGCCCGCGUCCGAUUAGCUAGUUGGCGGGGUAAUGGCCCACCAAGGCGACGAUCGGUAGCUGGUCUGAGAGGAUGGCCAGCCACACUGGGACUGAGACACGGCCCAG
rnacentral:rRNA from 1 species